rnacentral:rRNA from 1 species
GGCUGCACGCGCGCUACACUGACACAGCCAGCGAGUACAUAACCUUGUCCGAGAGGACUGGGUAAUCUUGUUAAACUGUGUCGUGCUGGGGAUAGAGCUUUGUAAUUAUUGCUCUUCAACAAGGAAUUCCUUGUAAGCGAGUCAUCAACUCGCGUUGAUAACGUCCC